rnacentral:lncRNA from 11 species
CACCUAAGAGUUGGCUCAUUUUGUGUAACAGACAUAGUUGCUAAGUAAUUAGUAGUGAGAUUACAGUCUGCCAACAAAAUUAUUGAUGUCAUAAUGAUAAGCAUACAUUAAGAAGUUUGUAUCAGAAACUUUAAAUUGAAAUGGAAGUGAGGAUCUAAUGUAGUGCUGAGAGGCAGUGUAUGGAUCUAACACUGAGUUGGCAACAAAUUCACUCUGGAUUUUACUACUUAAUCUUCCCACCGCUGCUCUGAGUUAAACUAGAGCUCUGCUGAUGCCAAAACCCAAAGGGCAAAAAUCCAGCACUAGAAGAGCACCAAUUCAACUCAGGUCAACUACUGAAAGAGCAGUGGUAAAAUCCAGAAAAAAUUGACCAAUUUCAUGGCUAGAGAUCCACCAGCUGUCCCUAACCGGGGCUAAGGAAAACUACCUCCAGUGCAAACACAGCAGGUGUAGACAAGGCCAACGUAACUUUCCUCUAAUUUAACAGGGCAUUUUUGUCCUCAACAUUCAACAGUUGUACCAAACACAAAUUAUGCAUAUCUUAGCAGGCUCACCACAUGCAACUUAUCUUUGACACAAUUUAAGGCACCAUCAACAACUCAGUCCUUUUAUCAGUUCCAGACACUCAACUGUUUUCAGAAAAAGAGCAGAUCUACAUAUGGAGGCCCAGGUGAUGGCAGAAUAUCAAGAGGAUGAAUGCAAUGUACCCAGAAUAAUAGUGUCACAUCAUGUGGAGGCACUGUGAUGAGACACAACUACACAGGAUUUAAUAAUUUAAAACCUGGAUGGGCUUGGGAAAAAAAAACAUUAAAGCCCAAAGGCUUACAUGAAAAACCACAAUUCAACCUGGCACUGAAAAGAAACCAAUGUUGGCACCAGACUUCUAAGGCAAGGAAAUUUCACAAUCAGGUACAAAUAUUGUACUGCCACCCCACCCAUCGCAAGGGUUACAUGAAGAGGUAUGUAUAUAUACACUUUGCCAAGAAUCAUCCCAAAAUGUUCACAUUUCAGGGACAACAAUUAGUCAUACUUUUGGGAGGGGGGGGGGAAUAUCAUCAUUUCAGGGUUAUGGCUGGAAGUUCCGCAUAAAUCAAAUGUGGAAAACAAGCUUGAUAACAGACUUUGUGGGAGAAUUACACGAAGGGAUUUUGUAACCACCUUUGAGACUAACUUGAGACAAAGAAGUUGGUAGUGUAUGCAUUUGUAGACUUAAGUGUCUAAAUCAAAAUGUAAAAAGGUUGAUAACUUAAUUCUACCAUCAAGUAUCUGUUUCACACAUCCCAUUAAAACUGGAGAUCACACAAGACUCUUAGAAACAGUAAUACUCAACGUGGUCUGUGGGAUGAUGCCACACUGUGAGAUAUUGGCUCCUGGUCCAUAGUGUUUCCAGGAAGGGGGUGGGGGUUGUAAUAAAUGCAAUGUAGUGCUGGUUCCUGGAAUGUUAGGGGGAGGAGGCAAAGGGACUUUUUCUGCACAGUGAUAAUGCCAUGCAUAUCCAUGCAAGAGCAAAAUCCUCUGAGCGUAAUGAACCAUAAUUCUGGGUAAAUUUGUAAAGGACUGCAGCUUUAACUCAGCAAAAAUGUACUCAAGUUUUAAUUACUGUCAGGCUCCAAAAUAAAAUAUGCAAAAUUCACAAUUAUCUCAAGCAUGCUUCAUCAUUGUAUGAAAAUGAAAAACUGUAUUUAAUUUUUUAAAAAUGUUUUCUAGUUGUUAAGUAAUUUGGAGUGGGUGGGUGCAGGAUAACUGGCAUUGUGUUUCAUAAUAUAAUCCACUUCCAACAGUGAAAUACUGUAAAAACUGCCCAUUUCUAGAGCAAAGGUCUCUUACAUAAUACCCAUGCCAAGCAUUACUGUAAUGCUGUGUUGGACAAAGUCCAAGAAAAGUGCUCUUUGGAAAAACAAAGUUAUAUCAAACACUGUAGGAAUGCUAAUUAAAUGUGGCAGAUUCUUUUUAAAAAGAAUACAAAGGUUUUCUACAGUAGUUUUUGAAGAAUCAGUUAGUUUCCCCAGCAGUCUGAACAAAAGUCAAAUGUAAUUUCACUGGUUCACUCACUAUUUUUUGCUUGUCAAACCUGCCACUGGUGUCUGUUACAGCUACAUGUACUGCAUUUGAAAUAUUUCU